GUGGGGAAUCUUCCGCAAUGGACGAAAGUCUGACGGAGCAACGCCGCGUGAGUGAUGAAGGUCUUCGGAUUGUAAAGCUCUGUUAAUCGGGACGAAAGAGCCUAGUGUGAAUAAUGCUAGGAAGUGACGGUACCGGAAUAGAAAGCCACGGCUAACUACGUGCCAGCAGCCGCGGUAAUACGUAGGUGGCAAGCGUUGUCCGGAAUUAUUGGGCGUAAAGCGCGCGCAGGCGGAUCUGCCAGUCUGUCUUAAAAGUUCGGGGCUUAACCCAGUGAUGGGAUGGAAACUACAGAUCUAGAGUAUCGGAGAGGAAAGUGGAAUUCCUAGUGUAGCGGUGAAAUGCGUAGAUAUUAGGAAGAACACCAGUGGCGAAGGCGACUUUCUGGACGAAAACUGACGCUGAGGCGCGAAAGCCAGGGGAGCGAACGGGAUUAGAAACCCCGGUAGUCC
rnacentral:rRNA from 1 species